AAAAAUUUAGUUAAAUUAUAACAUUAGUUUGUCAAACUAAAAUUAUUGAAAAAUAAUUUUUA
rnacentral:tRNA from 2 species